rnacentral:rRNA from 1 species
UGGGGAAUUUUGGGCAAUGGGCGAAAGCCUGACCCAGCAACGCCGCGUGAGGGAUGAAGUAUUUCGGUAUGUAAACCUCGAAAGAAUGGGAAGAAUAAAUGACGGUACCAUUUAUAAGCUCCGGCUAACUACGUGCCAGCAGCCGCGGUAAUACGUAGGGAGCAAGCGUUGUUCGGAUUUACUGGGCGUCACGGGCGCGUAGGCGGCGCGGUAAGUCACUUGUGAAAUCUCUGAGCUUAACUCAGAACGGCCAAGUGAUACUGCUGUGCUAGAGUGCGGAAGAGGCAACCGGAAUUCUUGGUGUAGCAGUGAAAUGCGUAGAUAUCAAGAGGAACACCUGAGGCGAAGGCGGGUUGCUGGGCCGACACUGACGCUGAUGCGCGAAAGCCAGGGGAGCAAACG